CCCAGACUCCUACGGGAGGCAGCAGUGGGGGAUAUUGCACAAUGGGGGGAACCCUGAUGCAGCGACGCCGCGUGGGUGAAGGAGUGCUUCGGCAUGUAAAGCCCUAUCGGCAGGGAAGAAGCAAGACGGUACCUGACUAAGAAGCCCCGGCUAACUACGUGCCAGCAGCCGCGGUAAUACGUAGGUGGCAAGCGUUAUCCGGAUUUACUGGGUGUAAAGGGAGCGUAGACGGCAGUGCAAGUCCGGAGUGAAAGCCCGGGGCUCAACCCUGGGACUGCUCUGGAAACUGUAAAGCUGGAGUGCGGGAGGGGCAGGCGGAAUUCCUGGUGUAGCGGUGAAAUGCGUAGAUAUCAGGAGGAACACCGGCGGCGAAGGCGGCCUGCUGGACCGUAACUGACGUUGAGGCUCGAAAGCGUGGGGAGCAAACAGGAUUAGAUACCCUGGUAA
rnacentral:rRNA from 1 species